GACGAACGCUGGCGGCGUGCCUAAUACAUGCAAGUCGAGCGAAGUGUUUCUGGUGCUUGCACCGGAAAAACUUAGCGGCGAACGGGUGAGUAACACGUAAAGAACCUGCCUCAUAGACUGGGACAACUAUUGGAAACGAUAGCUAAUACCGGAUAAUAGCAUUAACUGCAUGGUUGAUGUUUAAAAGUUGGUUUUGCUAACACUAUGAGAUGGCUUUGCGGUGCAUUAGCUAGUUGGUGGGGUAAAGGCCUACCAAGGCGACGAUGCAUAGCCGACCUGAGAGGGUGAUCGGCCACACUGGGACUGAGACACGGCCCAGACUCCUACGGGAGGCAGCAGUAGGGAAUCUUCCGCAAUGGGCGAAAGCCUGACGGAGCAGCGCCGCGUGAGUGAAGAAGGAUUUCGGUUCGUAAAGCUCUGUUGUUAGGGAAGAAUGAUUGUGUAGUAACUAUACACAGUAGAGACGGUACCUAACCAGAAAGCCACGGCUAACUACGUG
rnacentral:rRNA from 1 species